rnacentral:rRNA from 1 species
AACGAACGCUGGCGGCAGGCCUAACACAUGCAAGUCGAGCGAGGACUUCGGUCCUAGCGGCGGACGGGUGAGUAACGCGUGGGAACGUGCCCUUUGCUUCGGAAUAGCCCUGGGAAACUGGGAGUAAUACCGGAUGAGCCCUUUGGGGGAAAGAUUUAUCGGCGAAGGAUCGGCCCGCGUUGGAUUAGGUAGUUGGUGGGGUAAUGGCCUACCAAGCCGACGAUCCAUAGCUGGUUUGAGAGGAUGAUCAGCCACACUGGGACUGAGACACGGCCCAGACUCCUACGGGAGGCAGCAGUGGGGAAUCUUAGACAAUGGGGGAAAACCUGAUCUAGCCAUGCCGCGUGAGCGAUGAAGGCCUUAGGGUUGUAAAGCUCUUUCAGCUGGGAAGAUAAUGACGGUACCGGCAGAAGAAGCCCCGGCUAACUCCGUG